GGGGCUAUAGCUCAGCUGGUAGAGCGCGUCGUUCGCAUCGACGAGGUCAGGGGUUCGACUCCCCUUAGCUCCACAA
rnacentral:tRNA from 1 species